UACAGAGGUCUCAAGCGUUGUUCGGAUUCAUUGGGCGUAAAGGGUGCGUAGGCGGCGCGUUAAGUCGGGUGUGAAAUCUUGGAGCUUAACUCCGAAACUGCAUUCGAUACUGCCGUGCUUGAGGACUGGAGAGGAGACUGGAAUUUACGGUGUAGCGGUGAAAUGCGUAGAUAUCGUAAGGAAGACCAGUGGCGAAGGCGGGUCUCUGGACAGUUCCUGACGCUGAGACGCGAAAGCCAGGGGAGCAAACGGG
rnacentral:rRNA from 1 species